GUAACCUUAUUACUUUACAACUGGGGAAACUGAGGCACACACUGUGCCAAGGUCUUACCGUAAGUUAGCCAACCACAAGGAAGCCAAGGGAAAGCCUACCGGAGAGACCCCACGAAGGCCAGGAUUUUUCCCAGGGCCUGAGUCCUGAGGGAUUGGAGUAGAAGAGGCAGGCAGGGACGCAGGAAGGUCUGGGCACGCUGCCCUGACAGGUUCGCAGGAUCACCGCGGCGGUCCCCAGCCUCACGAAAUUAAUGAGGAAGAGGCCUUUCUUUCCUCCGUCGAGGAGUAGAGGUUCCGUUUAACCUCUGCAGACAGUAAGACAGCGACCACUCUCCUCCCAGCCUGGCGCCAGCAUGAACCCGAGGGCAUGUCAGCAGGAGCCAGGAACUGGAGGCGAAGCAUCCUUCAUUUCCUCUGCGGCAGUGGAACGAGUGAGGUCUCUGAUUGCCAGAGUCUUGUUUUUUUCAAAAUCGCAGCAUGCUGAGACCGAAAGCGGGGUACCCUGGAGGAUUCUUUUAUAUGCUCAACCUUGAGUCAGACUUGCAAUCAGCAUUUGAUCAAGAAACUUGGUAUUCUCAAACUUGGGAACCAGCCUUGUAGCCUGACAAAAUUACCUGGGAUGGAGCUCAGGACGACUGGCCCUUGUCUUGCUCUGUGACUGUACAUGUCACUUCUCACUUGUCCAUUCAAAAAAAACUCUGGAGAACCUCCUGUCUGCUUGGGCUUCUAAAUCAUGGCACUGACACUUUAAAUUAGAAAAUAACAAAGAAGGAAUCUGCCAAAUAGAAGCAUGAAAGGCUUUGCAAAAGAAUUGACAUUUGAUAUGGAUUCUGACAGAAGAAAAGGAGUUGCCUGGGUGGCAUCAGUUCAUCUUCUAUAAGGGACCUGGCAGCAUCUAGCAGUGUGAUCCAGAGCCUGGUGGAGGGCUGGGAAUGCUAGCAGCUCCUCUAAUUUUUACUGCUGUAAACCAAAGCGUCAUGGUCUCUGUCAAACUUCUUUCUGUAUUCUGAGUGCUGGAGAAUGCGCAUUUGGAAAGUUAGAACGACAGCCUCCUUCUCUGUUUUAAUAUAUUUCACCUCUCUGAGGCAGACGGAUCAGAAGCUCACAAGGAAAACCGAUGCCCUUUCCCGCAGCGAAAUUAACCAGAAUCACGUGGAAAACAAUCCAAGCCUUGUAGGGAAGGGGAGCCAUUAAAAUGUGCCCUGAGCGAUGGGCUGCACCCAAUCUCGCAGCCUGGCUCGCUCGGCGGCAGACAGGAGGCUGCUCCCCGGGAUGGAGGGAGCCUUGUUGUAGUGCCACAAUUAAAAUCAGCUCCUCUGCCAAAAAAUAAAAGGGAGGAGGGAAGAAGGAGAACAUCAAAGACAGAUUGAAAUGUGUAGUUAGUAAUAAGAGUGGUCUCCUCUUGAACCAAAGCCUGCAGCGAUUCACGGCCCCCUUGUUAAUGAGAAAUUUUGACCUCUGG
ensembl:lncRNA